rnacentral:misc_RNA from 1 species
GAUGAAGAACGUAGCGAAAUGCGAUACGUAAUGUGAAUUGCAGAAUUCAGUGAAUCAUCGAAUCUUUGAACGCAUAUUGCGCUCUCUGGUAUUCCGGAGAGCAUGCUUGUUUGAGUAUCAGUAAACACCUCAACUUCCAUAUCUUUUUUGAAAUGGGAGUUGGACUUGAGUGAUCCCAACGCUUUUCCUCACCGAAAAGUGGCGGGUUACUUGAAAUGCAGGUGCAGCUGGACUUUUCUCUGAGCUAUAAGCAUAUCUAUUUAGUCUGCCUAAAGAACAGAUUAUUACCUUUGCUGCAGCUAACAUAAAGGAGAUUAGUUCUUGUGCUGACUGAUGCAGGAUUCACAGAGACAGCUUCGGCUGACUUUGUAAACUCGAUCUCAAAUCAAGUAAGACUACCCGCUGAACUUAAGCAUAUCAAUAAGCGGAGGA